rnacentral:rRNA from 1 species
GGAGGGUGCAAGCGUUGCUCGGAAUUAUUGGGCGUAAAGGGUAGGUAGGUGGUCUCGUUUGUCUGGGGUGAAAGCCUUGAGCUUAACUCAAGAAGUGCCUCAGAAACGGCGAGACUAGAGUACUGGAGAGGGUCGUGGAAUUCCCGGUGUAGCGGUGAAAUGCGUAGAGAUCGGGAGGAACACCAGAGGCGAAGGCGGCGACCUGGACAGUUACUGACACUCAACUACGAAAGCGUGGGGAGCAAACAGGAUUAGAUACCCUGGUAGUCCACGCUGUAAACGAUGGGUACUAGACUUGGCGGGAUUUGACCCCUGCCGAGUCGCAGCUAACGCAAUAAGUACCCCGCCUGGGAAGUACGGUCGCAAGACUA